CGUAUGAAUGAGAACAGAGCAAAUUGACUGUCACAAUUCAUCAGCCAUGCGUUAAGCAAGAGGCCCAUUGAUGUGUAGAGCAGUGUUCAGACCAGACAUGAGAUCAGGAGCUGUUAGCAGCAAACACUUGCAAUAGCAGGAUCAAAAGAAAAGGCAGACUUGAGGUGAGAAAUGUGGUUAUAAAUCUGUAUGCAAAACUGCAUCAGCAGAAAUGCAAGACCAAACAGCACAAGGAUCACAUGUUUUACCCAGUCCAUUAUUGAUGUGCAUGUGCUCUAUGCUAUAUGUGGGUGGAAGACUGCAGUCUAUGACCCCAAGAAUAAGGCUAUAUCAAAGUUGGUAGAAACGUCUGCUAGCUUUGUUCUCAACCAGGAACUUAUUCCAGGGUUGCCAGUGAAUGUCUACUGCAUUACUGAAAUUUCUGUGAUCUUCAGUGCACUUGAGUGGCAACUUCCUGAUGAUUUGUUGGAUGAUAGAUAGCAGAGAGGCCUGUGGACUUGCUAUGUCGUGGAGAGCAGUGGCUCUAUCGCAGAAUGGGGAUUUCUUCUUGGAAGUGCAGGGGUCCAAGGGAAGUGAAUGAGACAGGCCUGGAGCAGGCUUCUGGCAAGUGCUAUGCUUCCACGGUGCCAGCAGCUACAAGGUUGCUUUUCUUUACAGAUGAAAACAGGCUGAACUCUUGUUUUAGUGUUUCUGCACCUCUUCACCUCCUCCUUUUUUCAAUGAAAAAUAAAAUUGUAAGUAGUAACAAUGGUUAUUGGAAAUGGUUUUGCUUAUUCAACCAGCAAGCAACAAAUUCUUACUGUACUAUUGAUCAUAUGCUGUGCUAUAUUUUCACAAUAUGA
rnacentral:lncRNA from 1 species